AAUAGAUACCCGGGUAGUCCACGCCCUAAACGAUGUCAACUAGUUGUUGGGGAUUCAUUUCUUCAGUAACGUAGCUAACGCGUGAAGUUGACCGCCUGGGGAGUACGGUCGCAAGAUUAAAACUCAAAGGAAUUGACGGGGACCCGCACAAGCGGUGGAUGAUGUGGAUUAAUUCGAUGUAACGCGAAAAACCUUACCUACCCUUGACAUGCCACUAACGAAGCAGAGAUGCAUCAAGUGCCCGAAAGGGAAAGUGGACACAGGUGCUGCAUGGCUGUCGUCAGCUCGUGUCGUGAGAUGUUGGGUUAAGUCCCGCAACGAGCGCAACCCUUAUCUUUAGUUGCUACGCAAGGGCACUCUAGAGAGACUGCCGGUGACAAACCGGAGGAAGGUGGGGAUGACGUCAAGUCCUCAUGGCCCUUAUGGGUAGGGCUUCACACGUCAUACAAUGGUGCGUACAGAGGGUUGCCAACCCGCGAGGGGGAGCUAAUCCCAGAAAACGCAUCGUAGUCCGGAUCGUAGUCUGCAACUCGACUACG
rnacentral:rRNA from 1 species